rnacentral:rRNA from 1 species
UACGUAGGGUGCGAGCGUUUGUCCGGAAUUAUUGGGCGUAAAGGGCUCGUAGGCGGUCUGUCACGUCGGGAGUGAAAACACGGGGCUUAACCCCGUGCCUGCUUCCGAUACGGGGCAGACUAGAGGUAUGCAGGGGAGAACGGAAUUCCUGGUGUAGCGGUGAAAUGCGCAGAUAUCAGGAGGAACACCGGUGGCGAAGGCGGUUCUCUGGGCAUUACCUGACGCUGAGGAGCGAAAGUGUGGGGAGCGAACAGG